AUCUAAGUUUACCUUAAAAGUCGAUCUCUCUCAAGUUUAUUGAAGGUCUUAAAGACCAAAAUCCGAGAUGAGAGUGAAGAGAAAAAUGAUGAGGAAUAAAAGAACGGAAGAAAAAUAUAAAAGAAAAAUAAUAGAAAACUAAAAGGAUCGUCAAGGUAAAUCCCUGGAGGGUAAUUUGGUCAUUAUACCUCCUUUUUAGUAACAUAGGAAUAAAAGAGAAAAAGGAAAAAAAAAAAUAAAGGGGAAAAGGAAGAGAAGGAGAAAGUGCGGAAAGAAAAGAAUGUAAAUAGUGAGAGAGAAAAUUAUAGAGAGAGAAGGAAAGUUCUAGAGAGAGAGGGAGGUAACCGCCGCUCCGGCCACGAGGAGUCCGGUUCCGGCCGAGCCUUCAUGAAAUCUUCACAGAACUUAGAGAAGAACAUUCUUAACUUUUAGAUCGUCCAAAACCAUCCAGAAACGAGGAAAAAAAUCUAAAGGUAAAGUUCUUGAAUCCAGAUUCUCGAAAUUGCUUUAGAUCUGUGAGAUACAGUAAGAGUUAGAGCCUGAAAUUUGAGUAUGUUAAUCUACAGAGGAUUACGCUCAAAAUCUGUGAAGAAAUUUGGCCGAGACCUCAACCCAAAGGCGGAGAUCCGAGGGUCAUCCGAGAACGGGACUUAAUUUAGAGAAAUCAGUAGUUUUGGACACCUCACGG